rnacentral:rRNA from 1 species
UACGUAGGGUGCGAGCGUUGUCCGGAAUUAUUGGGCGUAAAGAGCUCGUAGGCGGUCUGUCGCGUCGGUCGUGAAAACUUGGGGCUUAACCCUGAGCUUGCGGUCGAUACGGGCAUGACUGGAGUUCGGUAGGGGAGACUGGAAUUCCUGGUGUGGCGGUGAAAUGCGCAGAUAUCAGGAGGAACACCGGUGGCGAAGGCGGGUCUCUGGGCCGAUACUGACGCUGAGGAGCGAAAGCGUGGGGAGCGAACAGG